rnacentral:sRNA from 1 species
UGAAUUUCGCCAGGGUCACCUCCUCCCGACUCUGACGGAUAAGGCCGGCAUUCUCCUCCUCCCGAUUGCCGGUCGAACCAAGCGACACCCGCCGGACCUCCUCCCCCGGCGGGUGUUGUCU